GAUGAAGAACGUAGCGAAAUGCGAUAAGUAAUGUGAAUUGCAGAAUUCAGUGAAUCAUCGAAUCUUUGAACGCACAUUGCGCCCGUCAGUAUUCUGGCGGGCAUGCCUGUUCGAGCGUCAUUACGCCCCUCAAGUCCCCUGUGGACUUGGUGUUGGGGAUCGGCGAGGCUGGUUUUCCAGCACAGCCGUCCCUUAAAUUAAUUGGCGGUCUCGCCGUGGCCCUCCUCUGCGCAGUAGUAAAACACUCGCAACAGGAGCCCGGCGCGGUCCACUGCCGUAAAACCCCCCAACUUUUUAUAGUUGACCUCGAAUCAGGUAGGACUACCCGCUGAACUUGAGCAUAUCAAUAAGCGGAGGA
rnacentral:misc_RNA from 1 species